rnacentral:precursor_RNA from 1 species
CACCGUACUAUAUACCGGCCCGUGCCACACCAUCCUCCCGGUUGGUUAUCUCCUCCCGCUAUUUAUAUCCCCCCGCCUCAGUGGGCCGUUGCCCCUCUCACUCCAUCCAUCUCUCUCUCUCUCUCUAUCUCUUCCUCCUUGCAACCACCUCUGCAUCUUCUACUUCCUCUCUCUCUUUCUAAAUAGUUUUCUUGCUGUUCUUGGGUGGUGGUGGUGGUGGUGAUGAUGUGAUGAGGAGGUGAAAAUUGUGAUGUGGGGGGAAAGAUGUGCGGGCAUGCUUUCCACAGGCUUUCUUGAACUGUGAACUCGUGGGGGUGUAUGUGCUCAUGUUGGGAUUGUGGUCGGUGGCCUCCAAUUCUCUGAAAAGAAAGCUGAAUUUGUCGAGCUCCCCGUUCUGUCUUUGGUCGUCUCUACCUGUUGAUGG